GAUGAACGCUAGCGGCGGGCCUAACACAUGCAAGUCGAGGGGCAGCGAGUCCCGAUUUAUCGGGAUGUCGGCGACCGGCGCACGGGUGCGCAACGCGUAUGGAACCUGCCCUUUACAGGGGAAUGGCCUUUGGAAACGAAGAUUAAUGCCCCAUAGUACCCUUUGCAGCAUUGCGAGGAGGUUAAAGGCUUCGGCCGGUAAGGGAUGGCCAUGCGUACCAUUAGUUGGUUGGUAAGGUAACGGCUUACCAAGACAUCGAUGGUUAGGGGCCCUGAGAGGGGGAUCCCCCACACUGGUACUGAGACACGGACCAG
rnacentral:rRNA from 1 species